GACGAACGCUGGCGGCGUGCUUAACACAUGCAAGUCGAACGGACAGGCCCUGCUUGCAGGGUACUCGAGUGGCGAACGGGUGAGUAACACGUGGGUGAUCUGCCCUGCACUUCGGGAUAAGCCUGGGAAACUGGGUCUAAUACCGGAUAGGAGCCAUUUUUAGUGUGAUGGUUGGAAAGUUUUGUCGGUGUAGGAUGAGCUCGCGGCCUAUCAGCUUGUUGGUGGGGUAAUGGCCUACCAAGGCGGCGACGGGUAGCCGGCCUGAGAGGGUGGACGGCGACACUGGGACUGAGAGACGGCCCAGACACCGACGGGAGGCAGCAGUGGGGAAUAUUGCACAAUGGGCGCAAGCCUGAUGCAGCGACGCCGCGUGGGGGAUGACGGCCUUCGUGUUGUAAACUCCUUUCGCAAGGGACGAAGCUUUUUGUGACGGUACCUAGAUAAGAAGCACCGGCUAACUACGUG
rnacentral:rRNA from 1 species